AUUGAACGCUAGCGGGAUGCCUUACACAUGCAAGUCGAACGAGCGGCGGACGGGUGAGUAAUGUAUGGGGACUGCCCGAUAGAGGGGGAUAACUACUGGAAACGGUAGCUAAUACCGCAUACUAUCGGAUUACCCAUAUGGGAUUAGCUAGUUGGUGGGGUAAAGGCUCACCAAGGCAACGAUCCGUAGCUGGUUUGAGAGGACGACCAGCCACACUGGGACUGAGACACGGGCCAGACUCCUACGGAGGCAGCAGUGGGGAAGUUUGGACAAUGGGGGAAACCCUGAUCCAGCCAUCCCGCGUGUAUGAUGAAGGCCUUCGGGUUGUAAAGUACUUUUAGCAGGGAAGCGGUAUCUGCAGAAUAAGCACCGGCUAACUACGUGCCAGCCGCCGCGGUAAUAC
rnacentral:rRNA from 1 species